CUGUAAAAGCAUCGUUGUUGCCUUCCCACCUACCCAUGUUUGCCUCCCCCCUUCCCCCUUUCUCUCUCUCUCUCCCUCCCUGUUCUUCUUCUUCUUGAAUACUUCUUCUCAUCUGUCCUUCACAGAUACAUCUCUCUCUCUCUCCUCAGAACUUUUCUCUCUUCCUCCUAUUUCUUUCAUACGUUACUCUCUCCUCUUGCGAUGACCACCGCCGUCGCGACACCGACGACCACCGACCACCUCUCCUUUCCCUGGCUGGAGACCCAAACCCGAACUCUUUAUUCCUGUCCUCCUCCAUCUCUCCCAGCCAUAACCUUAAUCCCUUCAUCUCCCGCUCCCUCAUCCCCCUUCAUCACUUUAGGGCUUUAUUCCUAUACUCUGUUUUUUACUUGCAUUUUGCUCAUUUUGCCCUCUCUCUCUCUCUCUCUCUCUCUCUCUCUCUUCAUUUGUUGUGGGUUUUAGUAUAACUUGGUUCGAUUCAUAAAGCUGGUUCAGAAAGCAUUGAUAUAUGAUCUUCUUCUUCUUCUGUUGAAAAUUUGAGCAAGAUGCGGGAGGGACAGAUGGUGAUGGUGAUGGUGAUGAUGCUGAAAAUGUAGAUCGUGGACCACCGUGGGCAGUAUGUGUUCAACGAGAGGAUCUGGGAGGGGCAGAUGGUGAUGGUGCCGCAGAACUUUGUGGUGGUGAAACAAGCCGGAAGCGUUGGGUUCGAAUGGGUGCCCUUGAGGAAAUGAUAAUUGUUUGCUUUGAAAAUGCUCCUUCAAAAAUUUCUUUAGUCCAUCCACAACCACGUCAUAGCUGUACCGCUGUUCAAAGAUUUUUUUGUUCCUGCCACAACCACAUCAUCGCUGUACCGCUGUUCAAAGGUAAUUUGAUUUCUCUUUUUCUCCCUUUGAGUAAUUUAGUUCGCAUGUUCGAGUUUGGUAUCAAGUUCGCUGAUUUUCUUUGUUCAAUUUCAUAAUUUUGCUGUUUGAAGUGUUGGUAUAGGGUUUGCUGACUUCUUUCAGGUAUGAGUUUUUGUAUGUGUAUGGUUUUUGAGGGCUUAGUUGAAGUGCUGAUAAAGUUGAUGUUUUUUUUAAUUUAGUUGAAGUGCUUAGUUGAAUUUUCUAUAAAUUGGUGUAUUGAGUUCCAUGUCUUCAUUUAGAAAUAUUUUUUCUUCCUGUGAAUUCACUCCCUACUCUUUCAAAAAAAUAAAAAUAAAUAAAUAAAUAAAAUUGAACCAUAAUGCAUCUUGAGGGAGUCUGUAGUUCAUGGAAAAUUUUAGGACCAUAGUGCAUGUUUGUUCCAUGCCUAAAGCAUUCUGUUAUCCAUGUAGAACUCACUACUAUUUUCACUGCCAAUGCACCACUACAGCUUUGUUCACUAAUCCCCAUAUAGUUGUCUCAAACACUUUAGAGAAGCAAGUGAUCAAGUAAAAUUGGUUAAACAAAUACUUUAGAGAAGCAAGUGAUCAGGUAUGGUUAUUGAGUUUGUGUGCCAAACGAGUUCACUGAGCCAUUUCCAUUUUAAAGUCUCUAGAUAAUUCAUUCCCUUUGCCUAUAGAAUAAUUAAGCCCAAAAAAUGUGAAAAGAAAAAAAUUAAACUACUAUUCACAAUUAAACUGCUAUUCUGUCAAUUAAGACAAUGAAAAGAAAAAAAAUUAAACAACAGUGAAUGCCUCCAUCAUUUUGAUGCGACAGGAAGAUGUGCAUAGGGGAGGAAAAACACCAUACGUUACAUGUGUAAGCAAGCAUGUAUGCUACAACAACAUUCAAAUGCAUACCAUGUCAUAAGCCAUACCUCUGCAAUAAUAUCUUUUUCCCAUAUUGAUGCUAAGGGAAUUAAAAGAAACAAUACAAGCCUCUCAUCCAAUACUUCUCUUGCACCAGCUUUAUGCAAAAGCCUAUAUAAACUGACUCAGCAAUAAUAUCUAAUUCCCAUAUUGAUGUUAAGGGAAUUAAAAGAAACAAUAUAAAAUAGUAGAUAGAUAUUAUGUUAUUAUGGACAAGUUUGGGAGCUGAGUAACAGCACCCAUGAAAUGAACAAUAUUUGGGUGCCACCGAAACAGAUUGUUUAUGUUAGUUGUUGAUUUUUAUAUUCCCCCCCCCCCCAAAUUAGUUGGUUCACUUUUUUUUUUUUUUUCCAAGUACAUUACUUAGUGUCAUUUGGUUUUAUUAGUUGAUACUCCUAAUACUAAUACAAUUUGUUGUUACUUUGUAUCUUGAUAUAGGGACUUAUUAAUGUUUCAUAUCACUACUACUAAUUAAUUAUUGAAGUGAUUAAUAAAGCAGGUGCUUUUCAGGUAAUCUAGAUGUUUGAUAGGUUGGAUCUGCAUCUUCAGGUAUUUUUCAAUUCGAUUUUCACAGUUCUCAUGCUUUGAAUAUGUUCUCAAAUAGAGGUCUUCACUUGAAUUUUGAUUUUGAUCGUGACUUGUAUAGGGUAAGGAUGAAUCUAAUGAUCCGCUUUCUAGGUUGGGUUUUGUAUUUCUUACUAAUGAUUUCUUAGUGGUGGUUACCAAAAUAAAAUAUCACUUGGCUGGUUCUGUUUUUCAUUAAAUAGACAAUGGUUGUUUGCCUAUGCUAUUUUCUGUUCUGAUAAGAUUGCUAAUUGUUUCUGUCUUUUUCCCGGUUCAGAAUUGUUGUGUUGAUUUCUGCCUCUCCCCUUUAGAAUUGUUGGCUUGAUAUUCAAACAUGUUAUUUUAGACCAAAAAUGACUUAGAUAGAAUAUCACUUGACCGGUUCAGUUUUUUAUUAAAUAGACAAUGGUUGUUUGCCUAUGCCAUUUUCUGGUAUGAUAAUCUAGAUAAUUGAUAGAUUGGGAUAAAUAGUAUAAUGAUUUCUUAAUGGUAGUUACCAAAAUAUAAUAUCACUUGGCUGGUUCUGUUUUUGAUUAAAUAAAAUGAUCAUUUUAGUGAACAUUAUAAAUCUUAUAUAUUUGUUUCUUAAUUUGCAUUAAGGCUGGGGGAAGUUGUUAUUUUAUUUGAGUUUUGAGUUUUACUUAUGGUCAUGUAUUGCUUAACAAAUAUUCAAAAUGUAUUUAAUGUUGGAAGCAAAAUGAAUCUGAAUGGGUGUAGGUGAAGAUUGAAGAAGGUGAUGGAGGGUGGUUACAUACACAAAAUUGAUGGGACCAAACUGAUAUAAUAAAUGGCUUUGGGCUUUUGGACAAAAUAAAUGGGGUUUUUUAGGCUGUGUUGAUUUGUAAAUGAUGAGGGAAUAAAGUUAGUUAGAGUUUGUUGUUAAAUUACCCAGCGAAAAGUUUGCUUUCUGAAUUUUAUUUUAUUAAAUUCUUUAAAAAUGAUUGACAUUGUAUAAAGUUAAAGAUUAUUUAGAGACAUGUUGAUGUUGUGUAAACUUAUAUAGAUUUGGUUUGGUUUGAGAUGUAGACAUUUGGAGUGUUUGUAAUUUAGAUUUUGAUCAAGAAUACCAUUUUUGUAUUGGCAUGGUGUGCUCCAAAGGGAGAACACCAUUUUGUUUUUUCUCUUAUUUUGAAAUUGUGUUUAUAAUAAAGGGGAUCCUCUUGCUAAAAUGUAUGUUAUCUAUUCAUUUUUUGUAUGUUAUAGGAAAAAAGAAUUUUAGGUAUACUUGAUUCUCAAUGUUCUUAGCUUAAGAGAGAAUGAUAAAUGAUAAAUGAAAA